rnacentral:rRNA from 1 species
AGUGAACGCUGGCGGUAGGCCUAACACAUGCAAGUCGAACGGCAGCACAGUAAGAGCUUGCUCUUACGGGUGGCGAGUGGCGGACGGGUGAGGAAUACAUCGGAAUCUACUUUUUCGUGGGGGAUAACGUAGGGAAACUUACGCUAAUACCGCAUACGACCUACGGGUGAAAGCAGGGGAUCUUCGGACCUUGCGCGGUUGAAUGAGCCGAUGUCGGAUUAGCUAGUUGGCGGGGUAAAGGCCCACCAAGGCGACGAUCCGUAGCUGGUCUGAGAGGAUGAUCAGCCACACUGGAACUGAGACACGGUCCAGACUCCUACGGGAGGCAGCAGUGGGGAAUAUUGGACAAUGGGCGCAAGCCUGAUCCAGCUAUACCGCGUGGGUGAAGAAGGCCUUCGGGUUGUAAAGCCCUUUUGUUGGGAAAGAAAAGCAGCAGGUUAAUACCCCGCUGUUCUGACGGUACCCAAAGAAUAAGCACCGGCUAACUUCGUG